CAAAAAUCAUCUGUGCAUAAUUGAUUUUCCUCCCUUUCUCUUAGCAAGUCUUACUUCUUACAGGGAUUACUGUACUCUCAACCCUCUUCUGCCUACCACUUCCAAACACACUUCCUUCUUGGAUCACUGAAAUGCCUUCUGGAAAUCCUUUGAUGGUCAAGAGUAAAUACAAGGUUAGAAGAGGAAAGAGAAAAUGGAGUUGGGGAACAAGGAAAGCACCACUAAGCAGGU
ensembl:lincRNA